rnacentral:rRNA from 1 species
AUUGAACGCUGGCGGCAGGCCUAACACAUGCAAGUCGAGCGGAUGAAGGGAGCUUGCUCCUGGAUUCAGCGGCGGACGGGUGAGUAAUGCCUAGGAAUCUGCCUGGUAGUGUGGGAUAACGUCCUGAAACGGGCGCUAAUACCGCAUACGUCCUGAGGGAGAAAGUGGGGGAGCUUCGGACCUCACGCUAUCAGAUGAGCCUAGGUCGGAUUAGCUAGUUGGUGGGGUAAAGGCCUACCAAGGCGACGAUCCGUAACUGGUCUGAGAGGAUGAUCAGUCACACUGGAACUGAGACACGGUCCAGACUCCUACGGGAGGCAGCAGUGGGGAAUAUUGGACAAGGGGCGAAAGCCUGAUCCAGCCAUGCCGCGUGUGUGAAGAAGGUCUUCGGAUUGUAAAGCACUUUAAGUUGGAAGGAAGGGCAGUAAGUUAAUACCUUGCUGUUUUGACGUUACCAACAGAAUAAGCACCGGCUAACUUCGUG